rnacentral:sRNA from 1 species
GACAGAAAAUACGUAGAUAUUAUUGUCGGAAUUGCCUGCAAAGGCUGUUAUAGGAUACUGAACAUAGCAUACUGAACAAAAGAAACGAAAAUGUAGCCUCUCCCAACCUACAGAUGGGUCUCUGAACAGACGAACAUCAGCAGGUCGGCCUUCUACUUGGACCUAAGAGAUGAUGAGAUGAUACUCUCAGAAACGGCAGUUACCGAUUCCGCGAAGCGACAGCAUUUCUAAACGCCAUGACUAGAGUUUCAAGCUCUGCCUGCCAUUGGUGACAGCCUCAAGCUUCAGGAACAACCCGGACUCAGUUUGACAUCACGCGAGGCGACCGCGGACGCACGGGUGUCUUGGAAGGGCUCACCCUGCAACAAUGGAGCUUUAUGAGUAUAGUACUACAAAAUUAUAGCACUGAGAAACCUUGCUCUACUUACUUGAGCAAACUCAACAAAUGCAAUGCACGUCGAGUGCACAUAAUCACCAAGGAGCCUCAGCCGAGAAACCUGACAGAACAGAUUAUCAAAAUGACAUGCAUAUAAACUCACGUACCUUCUUAUCUAUGUUAGUACAAUAUACAGUCCUUGAGACCAUCUCUUUUUCAUCUUCCGUCUGAAGAAAUUUAGGAUUCACAGGCAGAAUAGCUGUUUUGGAAGGCAAAACUCUAACAGGGUAGUAACCAAGCAUGGUUCCUCCUAGUGUUAGUGCGGCCCUUGCACCACCAUCAUCAGCAAAUUCAAUGAAAGCAAAACGCAAGACUGAGUGUGGAUCACCACAGAUACGGCAAUCUACCACCUACAGGUAAAGAAAUAUGAGUGUAAGUUAUCCAUCCAAUAGUCAAUUGGAUCCAUAGACAGAAAGACAUAGACGGUCCUCCGCACACUAUCCUCCCUAUCGGCGCGUCGUGUCCGGCCUCCCGUCCUCCUCCUUCCCUGG